UACGUAGGGAGCAAGCGUUGUCCGGAAUCAUUGGGCGUAAAGCGCGCGUAGGCGGCCCUGUAAGUCCGUUGUGAAAGUCAAAGGCUCAACCUUUGAAAGCCGAUGGAUACUGCAGGGCUGGAGUCCGGAAGAGGCGAGUGGAAUUCCUGGUGUAGCGGUGGAAUGCGCAGAUAUCAGGAGGAACACCAAUAGCGAAGGCAGCUCGCUGGGACGGUACUGACGCUAAGGCGCGAAAAGCGUGGGGGAGCAAACAGGG
rnacentral:rRNA from 1 species